rnacentral:rRNA from 1 species
GACAGAGGGUGCAAACGUUGUUCGGAAUUACUGGGCGUAAAGCGCAUGUAGGCGGCCGCGCAGGUCGGAUGUGAAAUCCCUCGGCUCAACCGAGGACGUGCAUUCGAAACCGCGCGGCUCGAGUCCUGGAGAGGGUAGUGGAAUUCUCGGCGUAGAGGUGAAAUUCGUAGAUAUCGGGAGGAACACCGGCGGCGAAAGCGGCUACCUGGACAGAGACUGACGCUGAGAUGCGAAAGCGUGGGGAGCAAACAGGG